CCAACACUCUUUUGAAAGGUCCUAAAGGAUUGGGAUGGUAGCACAUAUAUUGUGAGAGCUAAGCACGAUUGCUGAGUGGAACGGAUGACUGGAUUUUGCAUUUUCCAAUCCCCUUUCUAGCGGCAGCUUCCUAUGCAUAGACAUGGACAUGGACAUGUGACUUACUACAGUUCUCGGGGAGGGGUUCAGAGAUCGAGUCGCUGCAAAGAUGAUCCAGGAAUUCAGGAAUGGCGAAUAGGUUGCAGGCUGUUGUGCUUGGAGCCCGAGACUAGCAAUUAGGCGGUUGGAUACAACUCGUUCAGGGAGAAUCGAAAUAAUAUCGCAAUUCGAUACGGAGCCACUGAUGUUUGAACAGGGUAAAAAUGCCCUUCUCAAUGCCACGAUAGAAGGAACUCACCGAGAACAUGGGAACGGUGGAUUGUGCAUGUACUGGACAUAUACCAUGUCCGAUCUUCCCUUUUUCACACGGAUUUUCCUGUAUUUUAAUCAUAUAACGAAAGAGAG
rnacentral:sRNA from 1 species